rnacentral:rRNA from 1 species
GGCCGCGGGAAUUCGAUUCAGGCCUAACACAUGCAAGUCGAACGAUGACUCUCUAGCUUGCUAGAGAUGAUUAGUGGCGGACGGGUGAGUAACAUUUAGGAAUCUGCCUAAUAGUGGGGGAUAGCUCGGGGAAACUCGAAUUAAUACCGCAUACGACCUACGGGUGAAAGGGGGCGCAAGCUCUUGCUAUUAGAUGAGCCUAAAUCAGAUUAGCUAGUUGGUGGGGUAAAGGCCCACCAAGGCGACGAUCUGUAACUGGUCUGAGAGGAUGAUCAGUCACACCGGAACUGAGACACGGUCCGGACUCCUACGGGAGGCAGCAGUGGGGAAUAUUGGACAAUGGGGGCAACCCUGAUCCAGAAAGGCCGCGUGUGUGAAGAAGGCCUUUUGGUUGUAAAGCAAAGGGAGCAGGGAGGAGAGGCUAAUGGUUAAUACCCAUUAGAUUAGACGUU